GUAGGACGGACCCUAGAGGUCACACACGUCCCCGAAUUCCUGGAGGACUCCUGGCGACGAGAGACGGAGAGGUCCUCACCGGACCCCCCUCGGUCGCACCCGGCACCUCCACCUGCCUAACCUGUGGCCCAUCUGCCACCAUCUGUGCCUAUAGGCUCUGCCCCCGCCUGCCCUACAAUGUGUGCUCUCUAGGGCCCUCAAGAGGGGACCGGGGUUGGCCUCUUUGCCCCACCCCAUGCUGGCCAGAGUGUAGGAAGCCAUAAUGCAGCUGUCAGCACAAUACCUGUAACAUGAUGCUGAAACUCUCCCACCCUCCUCCCCUUCCUUCCCCUUCCCCAGAUUUGUGAAGUGUCAAGACUCAUCAGGAAUCUUGCCUUACAGCCCUCACCCCCCAAAUCAGGCAUAGCCAUAGUCAAGCCGAGCAGGUUUCUUAAGGAGCCGUCUGGGGUGUUGAUGACGCUGCUGAACAAGUUUGGUGACUGUUCUAAGCACAACCAGAUUGACACUGUUCCCACAGCCCCAUCCCCUCCCCCAGUAGGUAGGAUGCAAGGAGCCUAUAUCCUUUGCCCCAAGCGCUGAGGGAUGGAGCUGGCUCUGCACAACGCCAUCUUCCUUAGAAGACCUAAAGGAAACCAGGCCAGGUGUGGGAAAAUCAGCUGAGCCCAGGGCUGGGGGCUGCUUGUCUGCGACCUUUUAUAACCAAAAUAAAGAUUCCC
rnacentral:lncRNA from 1 species